UACGUAGGGCGCAAGCGUUAUCCGGAAUUAUUGGGCGUAAAGAGCUCGUAGGCGGUUUGUCGCGUCUGCCGUGAAAGUCCGGGGCUCAACUCCGGAUCUGCGGUGGGUACGGGCAGACUAGAGUGAUGUAGGGGAGACUGGAAUUCCUGGUGUAGCGGUGAAAUGCGCAGAUAUCAGGAGGAACACCGAUGGGCGAAGGCAGGUCUCUGGGCAUUAACUGACGCUGAGGAGCGAAAGCAUGGGGGAGCGAACAGG
rnacentral:rRNA from 1 species